CCUACGGGCGGCUACAGUGGGGAAUAUUGGACAAUGGGGGGAACCCUGAUCCAGCCAUGCCGCGUGUGUGAAGAAGGCCCUCGGGUUGUAAAGCACUUUCAGUGAGGAAGAACGCCUGGUGGUUAAUACCCAUCAGGAAAGACAUCACUCACAGAAGAAGCACCGGCUAACUCCGUGCCAGCAGCCGCGGUAAUACGGAGGGUGCGAGCGUUAAUCGGAAUUACUGGGCGUAAAGCGCGCGUAGGUGGCUUGAUAAGCCGGUUGUGAAAGCCCCGGGCUCAACCUGGGAACGGCAUCCGGAACUGUCAAGCUAGAGUGCAGGAGAGGAAGGUAGAAUUCCCGGUGUAGCGGUGAAAUGCGUAGAGAUCGGGAGGAAUACCAGUGGCGAAGGCGGCCUUCUGGACUGACACUGACACUGAGGUGCGAAAGCGUGGGUAGCAAACAGGAUUAGAUACCCUUGUAGUC
rnacentral:rRNA from 1 species